GUUUGAAUACAUGUGUUUUCACUUUUCUGACUUUUCGGAUAGCCAGCUCUUGUUUUUUGGAACUUACGACUUAUGGCAAGAGAGAAGAAAACUAUGUGACUUUAAAAGAAAACCAGUGAGAUAAAAUCAUAGAAAAUGUAUGAUGAUUCAGGAUGUGGUCAUUUGGUCCUGUUAUGUGGAUGCCCUAAGACAGUGUCUACCCAUCACUCCAUCUGAUAUCACUUGUUCUGUGCAUAUUUCUCUCUCAAACUUAAACUACAGAGAGCCUGUGGAUAGAGGAUGAAGAGUGACCUUGGACUAAUUUUCUAGGUCAAAGGUCAGUAUCAAAAUCUACUGUAUAUCUUUAUUUAAAAUCGUAGUCCAGAGUAUAUUUCUCCCCUGGUGUAAUCUAGCUUUUGUGCAAUGGGGUGGAGGGUCUGCAAUGAUCUUCAACC